AAAAACAUGUCCUUUUGUAUUAUUUAUUUAAGGUCUAACCUGCCCAAUGAUUUUAUUUAAUGGCCGCGGUAUUCUAACCGUGCUAAGGUAGCAUAAUCAUUUGUCUUUUAAUUGAAGGCUAGAAUGAAUGGUUGGACGAGGCAUAAUCUUUCUUCAAAUUAAUUUUUGAAUUUAAUUUUUUAGUUAAAAAGCUGAAAUGUUUUUUUGGGACGAGAAGACCCUAUAGAUCUUUACUAUUUAUAGUAUUACUUAUUUUAGUAUAUCAUUUAAAGUAAUUCUAAUGAUAGUUUGAUUGGGGUGAUUGUAGAAUAAUAAUAACUUCUAUUUUUAUAUAUCAAUAAUUAUUGUUUAAUUGAUCCAUAUAUUAUGAUUAUAAGAUUAAGUUACCUUAGGGAUAACAGCGUAAUUUUUUUGGAAAGUUCAUAUUUAUAAAAAAGUUUGCGACCUCGAUGUUGGAUUAAAAUAAGUGGUAGGUGUAGCAGUUUACUAACUAAGUCUGUUCGACUUUUAAUUUUUUACAUGAUCUGAGU
rnacentral:rRNA from 1 species